GGAAGUAAAGUCGUAACAAGGUUUCCGUAGGUGAACCUGCGGAAGGAUCAUUACAGAGCUUCGAAGCCUAAGGAAAAGCAGCCGAAAGGUGAACUAUCCUUAGGAUUGAGAUCUCCACCCUUUGUUUACAUUACCUUUGUUGCCUUAGCGGGCCCGCUCUCGGGCCGCCGGCUUAGGCUGGCCAGUGCCUGCUAGAGGACCUAAAACUCUUGUUAAUAAUAUUGUCUGAGUACUAUAUAAUAGUUAAAACUUUCAACAACGGAUCUCUUGGUUCUG
rnacentral:misc_RNA from 1 species